AUGUAAUGUAAUGCCUACAGUGUUAAUGCAUUGAAUCCCAUUAUAGCUCUGCAGUUAACCACACUUGGGCUAGAGUAGUACUGGGAUGGGUGACCUCCCAGGAAUUCCUAGUGUUUUACAUG
rnacentral:rRNA from 1 species